GAUGAACGCUGGCGGCGUGCUUAACACAUGCAAGUCGAACGAUGAAGCCCAGCUUGCUGGGUGGAUUAGUGGCGAACGGGUGAGUAACACGUGAGUAACCUGCCCUUGACUCUGGGAUAAGCCCGGGAAACUGGGUCUAAUACCGGAUAGGAGCGCCUGUCGCAUGACGGGUGCUGGAAAGAUUUUUCGGUCAUGGAUGGACUCGCGGCCUAUCAGCUUGUUGGUGAGGUAAUGGCUCACCAAGGCGACGACGGGUAGCCGGCCUGAGAGGGGGACCGGCCACACGGGGACGGAGACACGGCCAAGACUCAUACGGGGGGGAGGAGGGGGGAAUAUUGCAAACGGGGCGGAAGCUGGAUGCAGCGACGCCGGGUGAGGGAUGACGGCCUUCGGGUUGGAACCCUUUUUCAGUAGGGAAGAAGCGGAAGUGACGGUACCGGCAGAAGAAGCACCGGCUAAUUACGG
rnacentral:rRNA from 1 species